rnacentral:rRNA from 1 species
AUUGAACGCUGGCGGCAGGCCUAACACAUGCAAGUCGAGCGAGCGGCGGACUGGCGAGUAAUGUAUGGGGACUGCCCGAUAGAGGGGGAUAACUACUGGAAACGGUGGCUAAUACCGCAUACUAUCGGAUAACCCAUAUGGGAUUAGCUAGUAGGUGGGGUAAAGGCUCACCUAGGCGACGAUCUCUAGCUUGUCUGAGCGGAUGAUCGGACACACUGGGACUGGGACACGGCCGAAAUUCUUACGGAGGCAAGGGUGGGGAAGAUUGCACUAAGGGCGCAAGCCUGAUGCAGCCAUGCGGCGUUUAUGAAGAAGGCCUUAGGAUUGUAAAGUACAUUCAGCGGAGAGGCGUUACCCGCAGAAGAAGCACCGGCUAACUCCGUGCCAGCAGCCGCGGUAAUAC